AAAUUGAAGAGUUUGAUCAUGGCUCAGAUUGAACGCUGGCGGCAGGCCUAACACAUGCAAGUCGAACGGUAACAGAAAUCAGCUUGCUGAUUUGCUGACGAGUGGCGGACGGGUGAGUAAUGUCUGGGAAACUGCCUGAUGGAGGGGG
rnacentral:rRNA from 1 species